rnacentral:rRNA from 1 species
CCUACGGGUGGCUGCAGUGAGGAAUAUUGGUCAAUGGACGAGAGUCUGAACCAGCCAAGUAGCGUGAAGGAUGACUGCCCUAUGGGUUGUAAACUUCUUUUAUAUGGGAAUAAAAUGUUCCACGUGUGGCAUUUUGUAGGUACCAUAUGAAUAAGGAUCGGCUAACUCCGUUCCAGCAGCCGCGGUAAUACGGAGGAUGCGGGCGUUAUCCGGAUUUAUUGGGUUUAAAGGGUGCGUAGGCGGGCUUUUAAGUCCGCGGGAAAAAUUCGGGGCUCAACCCCGUCCGGCCGUUGAAACUGGGGGCCUUGAGUGGGCGAGAAGUAGGCGGAAUGCGUGGUGUAGCGGUGAAAUGCAUAGAUAUCACGCAGAACUCCGAUUGCGAAGGCAGCAUACCGGCGCCCGACUGACGCUGAGGCACGAAAGCGUGGGGAUCGAACAGGAUUAGAUACCCUGGUAGUC